GAUGAAGAACGUAGCGAAAUGCGAUAAGUAAUGUGAAUUGCAGAAUUCAGUGAAUCAUCGAAUCUUUGAACGCACAUUGCGCCCUCUGGUAUUCCGGAGGGCAUGUCUGUUCGAGCGUCAUUAUAACCACUCAAGCUCUCGCUUGGUAUUGGGGUUCGCGGUUCCGCGGCCCCUAAAAUCAGUGGCGGUGCCUGUCGGCUCUACGCGUAGUAAUACUCCUCGCGAUUGAGUCCGGUAGGUCUACUUGCCAGCAACCCCCAAUUUUUACAGGUUGACCUCGGAUCAGGUAGGGAUACCCGCUGAACUUAAGCAUAUCAAUAAGCGGAGGA
rnacentral:misc_RNA from 1 species